rnacentral:rRNA from 1 species
GAUGAACGCUGGCGGCGUGCUUAACACAUGCAAGUCGAACGGUGGAGCAGGAGCUUGCUCCUGUGGAUCAGUGGCGAACGGGUGAGUAACACGUGAGCAAUCUGCCCUGGACUCUGGGAUAAGCGUUGGAAACGACGUCUAAUACCGGAUACGAGGCGUGGGGGCAUCCCCAACGCCUGGAAAGAACUUCGGUCCAGGAUGAGCUCGCGGCCUAUCAGCUUGUUGGUGAGGUAACGGCUCACCAAGGCGACGACGGGUAGCCGGCCUGAGAGGGUGACCGGCCACACUGGGACUGAGACACGGCCCAGACUCCUACGGGAGGCAGCAGUGGGGAAUAUUGCACAAUGGGCGCAAGCCUGAUGCAGCAACGCUGCGUGAGGGACGACGGCCUUCGGGUUGUAAACCUCUUUUAGCAGGGAAGAAGCGAAAGCGACGGUACCUGCAGAAAAAGCACCGGCUAACUACGUGCCAGCAGCCGCGGUAAAAC